UACGAAGGGGGCUAGCGUUGCUCGGAAUCACUGGGCGUAAAGCGCACGUAGGCGGAUCGUUAAGUCAGGGGUGAAAUCCUGGAGCUCAACUCCAGAACUGCCUUUGAUACUGGAGGGCUUGAGUCCGGAAGAGGUGAGUGGAACUCCGAGUGUAGAGGUGAAAUUCGUAGAUAUUCGGAAGAACACCAGUGGCGAAGGCGGCUCACUGGUCCGGUACUGACGCUGAUGUGCGAAAGCGUGGGGAGCAAACAGG
rnacentral:rRNA from 1 species